rnacentral:rRNA from 1 species
UUGGAGGGCAAGUCUGGUGCCAGCAGCCGCGGUAAUUCCAGCUCCAAUAGCGUAUAUUAAAGUUGUUGCAGUUAAAAAGCUCGUAGUUGAAUUUCGGGAUCAAUUUAUCGGUCGUGCCUAUGGUAUGAACUGGUACAAUUGGUUUCUCCCUUCUGACGAAGCAUGAUGUCAUUAAUUUGGUGUCGUGGGGAAUCAGGACUGUUACUUUGAAAAAAUUAGAGUGUUUAAAGCAAGCAUUAGCUUGAAUACAUUAGCAUGGAAUAAUGAAAUAGGACGUUUGAUCCUAUUUCGUUGGUUUCUAGGAUCGACGUAAUGAUUAAUAGGGAUAGUUGGGGGCAUUAGUAUUCAAUUGUCAGAGGUGAAAUUCUUGGAUUUAUUGAAGACUAACUACUGCGAAAGCAUUUGCCAAGGAUGUUUUUAUUAAUCAAGAACGAAAGUUAGGGGAUCGAAGACGAUCAGAUACCGUCGUAGUCUUAACCAUAAACUAUGCCGACUAGGGAUCGGAUGAUGUUAAUUUUUUAAUGACUCAUUCGGCGCCUUACGGGAAAC